rnacentral:rRNA from 1 species
CCUACGGGAGGCAGCAGUGGGGAAUAUUGGGCAAUGGGCGCAAGCCUGACCCAGCAACGCCGCGUGAAGGAAGAAGGCUUUCGGGUUGUAAACUUCUUUUCUCAGGGACGAAGAAAGUGACGGUACCUGAGGAAUAAGCAACGGCUAACUACGUGCCGGCAGCCGCGGUAAUACGAAGGGGGCAAGCGUUGUUCGGAAUUACUGGGCGUAAAGGGAGUGUAGGCGGUUUAGGAAGAUAGUGGUGAAAUCCCGGAGCUU